UCUGAGUUCUCUCUAGAAUCUUCGAACCUUUCUCUUCUCCGUUGGCUUUCACUGCCUUUUGGCCACCUCCACCCUCACUCCGAUCGACCACCCCUCACCACGGUACCGUAUCUCAUUACUUUUCUCCCAAACUCGAAGCCUAGAAGCUUCCGCAAUGAAAGACGGUUGAUUGAAGCUCUCCAGAGUCUUUUCGGCCUCUCUUCGGUGGAUUUGACAUGAUAAUGCUCUGUAUAGCAUUAAUGUUGAGUUUCACGGCCAUGUUUUUCAUUUUCCCUAAUUUGUUUGCAAACCCUAAUUUUUCUACUCG
rnacentral:lncRNA from 1 species